AUUUUUAAUCUGACAGAAUUACAGGCAGCUCAAACACAGGCUGAUUCCAAAGGCUGAAAUGGGCCACAGGGGAAAGUUACCAGGUGAAGAACCAGCAGAAAGAAGGCUUUCCAUGUUUUUUAUUAUUGGUUUUAACAUUGGAUUGUCAAGUUUUAAUCAGUUAACUGUUUAAAUGCCACUGUUGGCAUCUUAAACUGUUUUUAACACUUAAUAAAUAAAUGUUCUCAGUAUGCCUCA